GGGGGGUCUAUCAUGCAGUCGUGCGGACCUUUUAAGCUUGCUUUUAAAAGGUUAGCGGCGGACGGGUGAGUAACACGUGGGCAACCUGCCUGUAAGAUCGGGAUAACGCCGGGAAACCGGGGCUAAUACCGGAUAGUUUUUUCCUCCGCAUGGAGGAAAAAGGAAAGACGGCUUUUGCUGUCACUUACAGAUGGGCCCGCGGCGCAUUAGCUAGUUGGUGGGGUAACGGCUCACCAAGGCAACGAUGCGUAGCCGACCUGAGAGGGUGAUCGGCCACAUUGGGACUGAGACACGGCCCAAACUCCUACGGGAGGCAGCAGUAGGGAAUCUUCCGCAAUGGACGAAAGUCUGACGGAGCAACGCCGCGUGAGUGAAGAAGGCCUUCGGGUCGUAAAACUCUGUUGCCGGGGAAGAACAAGUGCCGUUCGAACAGGGCGGCGCCUUGACGGUACCCGGCCAGAAAGCCACGGCUAACUACGUGCCAGCAGCCGCGGUAAUACGUAGGUGGCAAGCGUUGUCCGGAAUUAUUGGGCGUAAAGCGCGCGCAGGCGGCUUCUUAAGUCUGAUGUGAAAUCUUGCGGCUCAACCGCAAGCGGUCAUUGGAAACUGGGAGGCUUGAGUGCAGAAGAGGAGAGUGGAAUUCCACGUGUAGCGGUGAAAUGCGUAGAGAUGUGGAGGAACACCAGUGGCGAAGGCGGCUCUCUGGUCUGUAACUGACGCUGAGGCGCGAAAAGCGUGGGGGAGCAAACAGGAUUAGAUACCCUGGUAGUCCCACGCCGUAAACGAUGAGUGCUAAGUGUUAGAGGGUUUCCGCCCUUUAGUGCUGCAGCUAACGCAUUAAGCACUCCGCCUGGGGAGUACGGCCGCAAGGCUGAAACUCAAAGGAAUUGACGGGGGCCCGCACAAGCGGUGGAGCAUGUGGUUUAAUUCGAAGCAACGCGAAGAACCUUACCAGGUCUUGACAUCCUCUGACCUCCCUGGAGACAGGGGCCUUCCCCUUCGGGGGACAGAGUGACAGGGUGGUGCAUGAUGUCGUCAGCUCGUGUCGUGAGAUGUUGGGUAGUCCCGCACGAGGCGCACCUGACUAGUGCCAGCAUCAGUGGCACUCUAAGGUGACUGCCGUGACCGACGAAGGACGGUGGGGAUGACGUCAAAUCA
rnacentral:rRNA from 1 species